rnacentral:lncRNA from 1 species
AUGAAGCUAGGCCAGAGUGGGCCAUUGGAGUCCAGAUGGAGUUAUCUGUGGGAGGCCUUUCUGCAGCACUACAGGAGCUCUACUCCAUUACCAAGAGUUCUCCACUCCCUUUCUGAAAUGCUGAUGUUUCCAGAGCAGUGCCACCUCCAUACAGACGCUACAAAAGGAGCAGGAGGAGGAGGAGCCAGCAUAGGAACUCCAUUCUUUUGGUUUGGGAAGAUGCCCUACAUAGACACUGCAGAGGAGCAGAGGAGGGAAGCACCACGUUGUCGGGCUUGGAGAAAAGAGGACGUAGGGGAAGAAGUCCUUCAGGGCUUGCUCCUAGAAAAUGGAGGUGGAACAAUUCCAAAGGCAAAGCUCAGAUGGGCGCUGACACUGCUGAGAGAGACCCAAGGCACCAUGUGUACAGGUCACAAUCCUGCUUCAGCUGAAGUCACAGGAACAGCAUCAGGCAAUGAGUUCUGCCUCGUUAGCACAUGCUGGGUGAAUGUCUCCCAUUUCCCUUGGAUAACAAGAGACCCAGGGCUCAAUUCACAUCAGUGUCACCCAACCCAACCACAGACAUGA